CUAUAUUAUUCUUGCCUGUUUUUCCUUAAGAUGCUACACUAGACUGCAGUUUUUGUUGUCACUACAACGAUGUAUUUUUCGAUUCCAUCUGCUGUCGACACAAUGCACAGAGGGUUCAACAACUGAAUAUUGUUAUGAUAACACAUGUUUAGUUGGUGUGUGCUUUGUCAGAUAAAAUGCAUGUUUCUCAGGAGACAAAGACUGCAGUUAAUUCCGAAGGAGAAUAGCAACCUUUGCUUCUGCUAGGUUCAAUGAGCAUAUGGUAAAGGAAGGUAUCAGUGGAUUCACCAACGUAGAUUACAAGAGUAAAGGUUUAUCUAAUGAGGCCUUGUCGCGGCGCUGCAAGUGUUGCCCCCUCCUCCCCAAGGGCAAGGUGAAGGAAGGUGCCUGUGUGGUUCUUCUGCAGCUCGCAGCGAGGAUUGCUGUGUCCAACCUGCACAAAAAUGCCAAGAAGUCUUUCUCGGAGAUGAUUAAGGACAUGUACCUGCACUACAAUGAGAGAUAUGGGCUUCUUUGUGGCUUCCAAACUUGAAAUGUUUGUUUGGAAGUUAGGUUAGUUUUUUGUUGUUGAUUCACAGCUUCUCACAUAUACUG